AAUGAACGCUAGCUACAGGCUUAACACAUGCAAGUCGAGGGGUAACGAGAGGAAAGCUUGCUUUCCUUGUCGACGACCGGCGCACGGGUGAGUAACGCGUAUCCAACCUGCCCCCAACUAGGGAAUAACCUUGCGAAAGUAAGACUAAUACCCUAUAGUUUCCUCAGAUGUCAUCUGACGAGGAAUAAAGAUUUAUCGGUUGUGGAUGGGGAUGCGUCUGACUAGCUUGUUGGCGGGGUAACGGCCCACCAAGGCAACGAUCAGUAGGGGUUCUGAGAGGAAGGUCCCCCACAUUGGAACUGAGACACGGUCCAAACUCCUACGGGAGGCAGCAGUGAGGAAUAUUGGUCAAUGGGCGGAAGCCUGAACCAGCCAAGUAGCGUGCAGGAUGACGGCCCUAUGGGUUGUAAACUGCUUUUAUACAGGAAUAAAGUUAGCCACGUGUGGUUAUUUGUAGGUACUGUAUGAAUAAGGACCGGCUAAUUCCGUGCCAGCAGCCGCCGUAA
rnacentral:rRNA from 1 species